UGCAGUCGAACGGUAGCACAGAGAGCUUGCUCUCGGGUGACGAGCUGGCGGACGGGUGAGUAAUGUCUGGGAAACUGCCUGAUGGAGGGGGAUAACUACUGGAAACGGUAGCUAAUACCGCAUAACGUCGCAAGACCAAAGAGGGGGACCUUCGGGCCUCUUGCCAUCAGAUGUGCCCAGAUGGGAUUAGCUAGUAGGUGGGGUAACGGCUCACCUAGGCGACGAUCCCUAGCUGGUCUGAGAGGAUGACCAGCCACACUGGAACUGAGACACGGUCCAGACUCCUACGGGAGGCAGCAGUGGGGAAUAUUGCACAAUGGGCGCAAGCCUGAUGCAGCCAUGCCGCGUGUAUGAAGAAGGCCUUCGGGUUGUAAAGUACUUUCAGCGGGGAGGAAGGUGUUGUGGUUAAUAACCGCAGCAAUUGACGUUACCCGCAGAAGAAGCACCGGCUAACUCCGUGCCAGCAGCCGCGGUAAUACGGAGGGUGCAAGCGUUAAUCGGAAUUACUGGGCGUAAAGCGCACGCAGGCGGUCUGUCAAGUCGGAUGU
rnacentral:rRNA from 1 species